UUCUACAGCCACGCCACUCUGAACGUGCCCGAUCCCGUCUGAUCUCGGAAGCUACGCAGGAUCGGGCCUGGUUAGUACUUGGUAUGGGAGACCACCUAGGAAGACCAGGUGCUGUAGGCA
rnacentral:rRNA from 1 species